rnacentral:rRNA from 1 species
GACGAACGCUGGCGGCGUGCUUAACACAUGCAAGUCGAACGGAAAGGCCCUGCUUUUGUGGGGUGCUCGAGUGUCGAACGGGUGAGUAACACGUGAGUAACCUGCCCUUGCCUUUGGGAUAACUUCAGGAAACUGGGGCUAAUACCGGAUAGGAGCUCCUGCUGCAUGGUGGGGGUUUGAAAGUUUCGGCGGUUGGGGAUGGACUCGCGGCUUAUCAGCUUGUUGGUGGGGUAGUGGCUUACCAAGGCUUUGCUGGGUAGCCGGCCUGAGAGGGUGACCGGCCACAUGGGGACAGAGAUACGGCCCAGACUCAUAAGGGAGGCAGCAGUGGGGAAUAUUGCAAAAUGGGCGGAAGACUGAUGCAGCAACGACGAGUGCGGGAUGACGGCCUUCGGGUUGUAAACCGAUAUCGCCUGUGACGAAGCGUGAGUGAAGGUAAUGGGUAAAGAAGCACCGGCUAACUACGUG